rnacentral:lncRNA from 1 species
CAAUACGUAAACAACAUUGCGAAAAGUCAUGUGUGUCGCCGGCGGAUCAAAAUGUUAAAUAUCAAGGAAAGUGAGCAUUAACAUCUGCAAAACAUUGAAGACGUUGACUACAAAUACUAAAAGGAAUUACAAGAAGUAUGUGAAAACAGUUGCCAACACGUAAAAAUAGUGUUUUUAUUGAACAAUCGUCCCAAGUGACACAUGAAUUCUACUGCGCAUGUCAAUACAUUUCAUUCAUAAAUUCAAGCACAGGUGCGUGGAAUUUACUACGAUUUACUACGAUCUACUACAGUUGCUACAAUUGGAUCUUCACAAAAAUACAAGACAUACAGUUGGAUAAUUAUUCAGUGGAUAUUACUAUGAACUGGUAAAUUAUUACAUGAACUUCAACUGGUUUAUCA